GACGGAGGAUGCAAGUGUUAUCCGGAAUCACUGGGCGUAAAGCGUCUGUAGGUGGUCAAAUAAGUCAACUGUUAAAUCUUGAGGCUCAACCUCAAAAUCGCAGUCGAAACUAUUAGACUAGAGUAUAGUAGGGGUAAAGGGAAUUUCCAGUGGAGCGGUGAAAUGCGUAGAGAUUGGAAAGAACGCCGAUGGCGAAGGCACUUUACUGGGCUAUUACUAACACUCAGAGACGAAAGCUAGGGUAGCAAAUGGG
rnacentral:rRNA from 1 species